rnacentral:rRNA from 1 species
GACGAACGCUGGCGGCGUGCUUAACACAUGCAAGUCGAACGGUAAGGCCCUUCGGGGUACACGAGUGGCGAACGGGUGAGUGACGCGUGAGUAACCUGCCCUUCACUCUGGGAUAACAGUUGGAAACGGCUGCUAAUACCGGAUAUUCAGCUCCUGUCGCAUGGCGGGGGUUGGAAAGUUUUGGUGGUGGAGGAUGGGCUCGCGUCCUAUCAGCUUGUUGGUGGGGUGAUGGCCUACCAAGGCGGCGACGGGUAGCCGGCCUGAGAGGGCGACCGGCCACAUUGGGACUGAGAUACGGCCCAAACUCCUACGGGAGGCAGCAGUGGGGAAUAUUGCACAAUGGGCGGAAGCCUGAUGCAGCAACGCCGCGUGCGGGAUGACGGCCUUCGGGUUGUAAACCGCUUUCAGCAGGGACGAAGCGCAAGUGACGGUACCUGCAGAAGAAGCACCGGCUAACUACGUG